AAUGUUUUUAUUAAUAAUUUAUAAAAAAAAAAGGUAUUUAUAAAUUGGUGUGUAUAUAUAUAUAUAUUCAAAUCACACACGAUUUGCGCGCGUCCAUAUAUGUAUAUAAAUACCGAGAGAUAGAACACGCAUGUGUAUACACGUACGCAUGUAUGAACGCACGCACGCACGCACGCACAAAAUAGAACUCCCCUAUUCGCGAGAAACUUUGUCUUCAACUUUACUUGGUAAAUGGUAUUUAAAAAGAAACACCAUUUAAAAUACGAUGUGUUCAAUUAAGAUCCUUUCUUUCUUUUUUUCUUUUGCGCGCACGACGACGAUUACCUUGUGAAAAAGAUUGCCCAUCUUUUCACUUUUAAAGUAGCUUCUCUUUUGAGCAAAGUCUUCAAGUUCUUUCCGUAUUUAUCACUUUCCUUCCUCUUCUUUUAACUCACGGAACCCCACGAAGUUUAGAAAAAAAAAAAAAAAAGAAAUAGAAAAGAGAAGUCAUUCCCCUUUUCUUCUUUCUCUAGAUAGAUAUUUGUUCUUCUUUUAUAUUUGAUCGCACCACCGUUGUUCCUGACAAAAUAAGAAUCACCGAACGGUGCUUACGAACUGUCAGCUUAGCAUUCGAAACUGGCAUACCAAUUUUUUUUUUUUCAAACGCGUUCUCGCGCCCUUCCGGUAUUAUUUAUUUGGUUGGUUACUUGCUACGCGUCGACGACACCACUUCCGUCGUAGCCAUUUUUUUUCUUUUUUUUUUUUUCCUACUUAAUCGAUGCAGUCUUAAUUAAAUAUGCGGAUCUUAUUUCGAAAGGAUACGUCAAGGUCAAGAAAACACCGAAACAUGACAUUGUUUGAUUCGUAAGUACGCCGCUAACAUUUGAAUUUCGCGCCUAAUAAUAAUUCACAUCAAAUGUUUCACUAAUGAUGGUUGUGUUUUUUUUUUUCUUUUUCACGAAUAUUGUUAACGAUAUAUUGCAAUGAAUAGUUUAAACAUGAAUACUAAACAAAGAAAAAUAACAUUAGAAUAAAGUUUGACAUAUUAAAUUGUAAAAUUUGUUCAAUGCGCAAAAAUUCAUAUUUCGCGCCACACUCAUUUAAAUCUUAAUUUGACAUCGAUCGCUGUCAUCAAUAUAAUGUUUCGAUAAUGUCUUUUAAUUUUAUUUUUGAACGAAUAUUAUUAUAAUAUAUAUAUAUUUCAAUGAAUGAAUCAUGAACUUUAAAUGAUAGACGAAUCAAAAAAAAAAAAAAGUAUUUAUAAAUAUUGAAACGAUAAGAAAAUUCGAAAUAAUCGUCGAGUUUUUUUCCACAACUGCGGAAUAAUAUAAUGACGUGAUAGGUGGCGCUAGUAUUCUUUGGAGAGAGAGAGAGAGAGAAAAAAAAGUGGGACACUACAGCUGUUUUAUACGUUAAAGGAUUUUAUGAAACUACUACGAUGCUGUAGAAGAAUACGCAUUUUCUCGUUAACCUCUUUAUUUGUGACUUAUAAAUAUCGAUUAGAUAUAAAUAAAAGGUUUUUUUUUUCAUCUGCUUAAAGAAUUAAUUGUUAAAUAAAGAAUAAUUAUUAUUUCGAAGAAAACAAAGUCCUAGGUCAAUGUAAUUAAAGGAUCAAUAAAAUCUUUCGAAUGGCAGCAGUGAACAUUUCGAAGAAACAAAGGAAAUAUUUCAUUACAAUGUUAACACGAAUUAAUCUACAGUACGUAAGUAUAUAAGUAAACCCCUAGAUAUGAUGACAUCACAGGAGAAAAGAAAAUGAGUCAUAUGCCAUCCUACUCAGAUGAUAGACCAAUUUCCAUUAUUGGCGUAUAAAAGAAGAAAAUCAAAUUCAAAGAUGACACCGAUAGACAGAUGAUUGACAAGCACCAAAAAGACAAACAAACAAACAAAAAAAGACAAAAAACGGCAUGAACGAACCAAUGUGACAAAUUAUAAUUCGUCCAAAUGCAAUGAGACAA